UCGAAGUGAGGCCUUUUUUCUGUUUUCUGAAGUCUGAAAUAUCAAUAGUGUGUUUGCACAUUUGAAAUAGCUUGUGGCGCAUGCUUGGCAAACAAAACUUCAAACAUAUUAGUUUACUAGAAGAACAGAUUCACCGGGGACUGUCUCCAACCUCCAGAACCCGUGUUCAGGAUUUAAAAGCUGUUAUUGUUAAAAGGUGUUUCUUGAUAUGUCUGAAGGAACUUGUAUAAACUAUAAACAGGUUCAACUUAAAAUUAGAAUGAAAAAGGUUUCUGUAGGUCUCAGUGCUCUGAAGGGCAGAGACAGACAGACAGACAGACAGUGUUUUGAGCUCCUGUAACAUCCCUCCUUUAACUGAUAGUCUACAUAGCCUAGAUUACAGCGGGUGUCACUCCUGAACACUAACAUAGCCUAGAUUACAGCGGGUGUCACUCCUGAACACUAACAUUCGCACACACACACACACAGUGACUGCCUGUCCUUAAUCUAUUAUGGUCAGUCCAGCGCAGAGGGAGCACAGUAAAGUACAAGCAGCCCGCAGCGAGCGGAGCCAAAAUAAAAAGCCAAAUACCUCUAAAACGGUGAGGGGUUUUAACAGGCACAAAGGCACGCACGGCCGGGUGCAGCAGCAAUGCCAGGAUUUAUAGAACGCUGGGCCAGUAAACGGGACUCGGAAGCAUCAGCGGAGCCUUCCGGAAUGGGUGUUUUUACAAACUGUAACUAUUGGAAACAAAUGCUGUGUUAAAGAGGUUGAAAAGAAACAUGAUCCACAGAGUCUCCACCCCCCAACACAGCUGGUUUCACUUCCUGGGGGAGACUUUACUCACGCCACCCCCACUUCCUGUUGAUCAGUCAGGAGAGAGGCUGUAAAUCUUCGAUGAGGACAUCAUUGAUGUUUGGGAUGUGGUUUUCUGUUUGGCUUUUGAUGGAGGGUCUGGUGGGUCCUGUGGCGAUGGAUAUUACCAUCAGGCAUUUUUACAGCCUUCUAAGCCUCACAUAUUUCAGCCUGUACGCCAGACUUCCUAAAGGAUCUCCUUCACUGUCACAUGUGUCUGGGUCUAGUAAAAUAAGCACUCAGCUCGUAAACCGGCCAAUGAGCAGACCCCAAAUAGCCACUUCUGCCAGCCUGACUGACAGAAGCCCUAAAGAGACGUGUUCAAAGAUGGAGGGAAGCUAGUCACAUGGAGAUUGAGGAGGCAGUCAAUCAAAGAGAAUGGCUACAUCUACCAGAAACAUUGACUGCAAUGUGCCUCUGUCUUCUUGUCCUCCUCUGAGGAAACAACAGCUUUUUUUUGUCAGCCUCAUGUUGAAGUUGCUUUCUCUGACUAUAUUUCUAAAAGGCACAAGAAACCUGCUGCGUUCUCUGUCUACCUACUUUCCUACUUUAGUACCCCAUCUCCCAGCGUGUGUGUGUGUGUGUGUGUGUGUGCGUGCACACCCUGUCUCCUGCGGUCUGCGUGCUGUAACGCUGUUCUGGUCUCCAGUAAAUCCAAACCACUACCAGGUGUACACACAGAGCCUAGGCUGAGCUGAGCAUACGGCCACAGCUGCUCUGUCUGUGUGUAGUUCUGUGUUUGUGUAUGCAUGAGUGAGUAGAAUGAAGUUGUCAUUAGCCGCUGAUCUAAAGUCAGAUUUUUACAUUUUUCACCCCGAUGCUAAAAAAACGUAAGCUGAUCCUAGAUCUGUACUUAAGGGGCAACCCGUAGUGAUUUAUAGAGCUGCCACCGCAUCAUAGACAUUCUUGUGUAGAGCCGUGCCCCGGUACAGCGGACCAGAGCUCUGUGUGCCAAACGACGCUACGUUCCCAGCUUCCUCUAUUCCCACGCUUUCCUCUGUUCUGCCAACUGGGAACAUACAUACCUCCCAGUUCACAUCAUUAUGAGAAUAAUAGUCCAACUCUCUCUCUUUCUCUCUCGUGAUUUCUUGAUGUGCAGUAGGCCUACUUAAUGUAAAACGUGUGGUGUACUGUUACUAUAUGUUAGUUAAAGAAAGUAUACUCUCGUUA